CCUUUUUUUAUGAUGAACACAACGCGGAUGUAAAAGUCCAAAGGGACUAUUUGUCCGAGAGCGCAUAAACUCGUGUGGAUUCCUCCGUUGCCUUCCUACUGAUCCUUUUU
rnacentral:snoRNA from 1 species